CUCUACCAGCCACAGGGCCUGCUCUACCAGACACAGGGCCUGCUCUACCAGACACAGGGCCUGCUCUACCAGACACAGGGCCUGCUCUGGUUUACUUGGUGUUUGAUGGAGAAGGCGUAACCUUUGAACCCUUUAGUGAGACUGACCAGAGAACGACCAGGUCCUCCGCGCCAAUCAAACCCACAAUCAGUAAUUAUGUUUUUGCACUCAUUUUAUUUGGCACCAAUCCUAUUAAUGUGGGACCCAUGGAUGUUUUGAUUUUGGCUUUACAAAUGUUUUUAAAACAAUCUGGCGUAUUAAUUUAUCAAACAUGUCUUUGAAAUUUGCUCUUGCCCAUAAUUACAUUAUUGCACAUACCUCUGUUAUUAAAUGUACAGUAUUAAGGAGUCUUCAGGCUACUGUUUUGUCAGCGUGUUUCUUUACUGGUCCUGUUUAAUGUCCGUUAACAGUACAAUAGAAAGCCCAUAAUGCAUUGAAACAAUGCAUGCACAAUUAGUCAAAAUAAGACUAAUUAUGAGAGCAAGGGUGUUUCAAUGUGCUUCUAUUUGAGUCAUUUAAACAAAGCUCAGGAUCAAAUGUUUAGUAAAUGACCCUUCAGCCAGAAUCUGUCCACCCAUCUGAAGGGAAUGUCUGUAACUAGAUACAGACCCUUAUAGCGGGUCCACUGUGUCGAUUAAACAGAACAUUCUGGAUUCACUUGAGAGAACAUCCAUCUCUGGGAGAAGACCCUCCUCACCCCCCCUCUUGUUCUCAGUGCUGUCCCUAAACGACAGACGGCAGGCAGGAACUAUUAAUAGCAGCGAGGCUCACAGAGGGGCUGAUGUACAUGAACACACCAUAAACACCGCGAGCAGAACCCAACACCUGCCGCACAGCCUCCGCACGGCGCCGCUCACCGCAGCGCGCCGUUGGUUGGUGGCCGUCAUUAUUAAUAUGCUAUAGACCCCCCCCCCCCAGGUGUAUUUGCGUCCCACUCUAGAGCAAUCUGUUUGGAGAUGUUUGGUGGUGAAUAAUUGACGGGCUGUAUUGGGGGGUCCAGGCUAUAUAUAGAGGAGCAGCAGAGCGUGGGAGGGGUUAUGUAACCACACGUGAGCUCAGACGCACUCUGAUUGGACGCCUGAGAGGAGAGGAGGAAUCAAGAGGAGUGGGGACGGGGAGCCGCUCCUCCUCCUGCUGGCGGUCUGAGGGAGGUGCUCCUCCUCCUGCUGGUGGUCUGAGGGAGGUGCAGCUCCUCCUGCUGGUGGUCUGAGGGAGGUGCAGCUCCUCCUGCUGGUGGUCUGAGGGAGGUGCAGCUCCUCCUGCUGGUGGUCUGAGGGAGGUGCUCCUCCUCCUGCUGGUGGUCUGAGGGAGGUGCAGCUCCUCCUGCUGGUGGUCUGAAGGAGGUGCAGCUCCUCCUGGUGGUGGUCUGAAGGAGGUGCAGCUCCUCCUGGUGGUGGUCUGAAGGAGGUGCAGCUCCUCCUCCUGCUGGUGGUCUGAAGGAGGUGCAGCUCCUCCUGCUGGUCUGAAGGAGGUGCAGCUCCUCCUCCUGCUGGUCUGAAGGAGGUGCAGCUCCUCCUGGUGGUGCUCUGAAAGAGGUGCAGUUCCUCUUGGCCUGAGGACCGUCUCUUAGCUUAGGGCUGAUCCCAGCUACAGGUCUUCCUUACAGUCACAUGAGUAUAUCACGAUUUGUGAUGUCACAAAUCCAUUAAAUGACUUUGUUUCCAACUGUUUUGAGCUGUUUCAUUGGCCAACAAGUCAACAAAUUGUAUUUAUUGAAUGUCCAUCCCUCUUUAUCUGCGCUGUAUUGAACAGAGCAGCAACACACUCUCCUUCCACACUCAAAAGCAGAACUCUUAACUUUUUUUUUGUGUUUUGCAUGACAUUUAUUUUGGUUAUCUUCAUUUAAUUUGCUCCAUGUUAAAUUGUUAUACUUUGUAAGUGUAACAAUUUACACUUACAAAGAUAUUAAAAUGUAAAGAUAUUAAAAUGUGACAUAAG
ensembl:lncRNA